GACGAACGCUGGCGGCGUGCCUAACACAUGCAAGUCGAACGAGAAUCUGCGGAAAGAGGCUCCGGCCAAUGGAAGCAGAGGACAGUGGCGGACGGGUGAGUAACGCGUGAGCAACCUGCCUUGGAGUGGGGGACAACAGGGGGAAACCUCUGCUAAUACCGCAUAAUGUCGUUGAUUGGCAUCGGUUAACGACCAAAGAUUUAUUGCUCUGAGAUGGGCUCGCGUCUGAUUAGGUAGUUGGUGAGGUAAUGGCUCACCAAGCCUACGAUCAGGAGCCGGGUUGAGAGACUGAACGGCCACAUUGGGACUGAGAUACGGCCCAGACUCCUACGGGAGGCAGCAGUGGGGAAUAUUGGGCAAUGGGCGAAAGCCUGACCCAGCAACGCCGCGUGAAGGAAGAAGGCUUUCGGGUUGUAAACUUCUUUUACCAGGGACGAAGGACGUGACGGUACCUGGAGAAGAAGCUCCGGCUAACUACGUGCCAGCAGCCGCAGUAAUAC
rnacentral:rRNA from 1 species